GUUAACCUACGGGGGGCAGCAGUGGGGAAUAUUGCACAAUGGGGGAAACCCUGAUGCAGCGACGCCGCGUGAGUGAAGAAGUAAUUCGUUAUGUAAAGCUCUAUCAGCAGGGAAGAAAAUGACGGUACCUGAGUAAGAAGCCCCGGCUAACUACGUGCCAGCAGCCGCGGUAAUACGUAGGGGGCAAGCGUUAUCCGGAUUUACUGGGUGUAAAGGGAGCGUAGACGGUUAAGUAAGUCUGGAGUGAAAGGCCGGGGCCCAGCCCCGGGACUGCUCUGGAAACUAUUGAACUUGAGUGCAGGAGG
rnacentral:rRNA from 1 species